rnacentral:lncRNA from 1 species
UAUCUUGAGUUAUUGUCCACCUAGAGUGCCAACUGGCACCAUCUCAAGUGUGGCUGGGCUGCAGAUUAUUCAUCUUGAGGUCAUCUUUCAGAGGGAGAGAAUUUGCCACUGGGUCUCCAUGCCUGGCUGGUUUCAAAAUUAGUCCCUAGAAUCUCUUAACAAGCAUACAGUAAGAUAAGUGUGUGUGGUGCAAGGGAGUGCCUGGUCAGAAAGAGAGGGAAGCUGUUUCCAUUUCAGCUCCUCAGGCCAGCAUAUUCCUAGUUGGCAAAUUCCAAACCAACUUGUGCCUUUCAGUUGGAACUAGAACUUCCAGGCAAACAUAUUUUAGUGCCUUGGUCAUUGUUUCUAGAUGUCGUCUAUACCUGCACUCCAUGUGACUGCCCCCCUGCUCUGUGCUACAAGAACACAUCUGUGUGAAUAGCACUGGGGCUCCCUUCAUACUGAAUUCUGAUCGAGUUUGGCUCAUGCAGUGUAAUGUACAUUAUACAGUGUCAUGUGCUCUCCACACUCCCCUUCCCACUUGAGCACUGAAGUACUUGUUCCCCCAGCUGCCAGGAGAAUUAGUAUGUGACAGCUCUCAGCUAAGUCCUUCUCAAGUCACUGUUCCCAGUUGAGGUAAACUGCCUCACCCAAGCUUAUGCUCUCUUCCUGGGGGCAGCCACAUGCAAUCAAUGCUCCUGUGGGAACACAAACGCGGGGCCACCUGCCCUACUACAAGGCAACAUGGAAGGUUAAUCUCACAGUUCAUCCAAGGAGUAGCCAAGACUGUAGUUGUGACUACAUCACAGUUCAUCUUCUCCCAGUGCCCAACUUUGCUUCAUUAAUGCCACAGGAAUUGACACUAGGAACUCUCCUUGGUCAGCUUCCUGAAUGUCGAAGUCUCCAUCUCAGUCUUUUUUUCAGGAAUUUCUGAGUGAUAAUUAUUUCUCCUGCUCAGGCUUGCUGGUCUGUGGAUUCUUGACUUUGCCCUCUGGCAGGUUCACCUUGGAGGUGGCCUCCUCCAUACAGCCCAUCUGUGUGAAAUCUGGAAGCUGGUCUAUCCCCACAGGCCAUCAGGAGGCGAGUGGGCAGAACAUCACGGUCUUGGUGGUGUAGGGACUCAGCAUAGCCUCUCUUUGGUUUUCGUAAAUUGUGCCACAUAGUAGUUAAUCUCAACUCAGCUACCCAGCAUCGCUGUCCUUUCCGUUUUUCUGUGGAGCUCUGGGCAGUACAUACAUCUUUUUCUCAUCUGACUCACAGCUUGUCUGGCCUUAAUUCUCACACACCCUAGAGUCCUUCAGAGAGAUUUAUCUACUUAAGGCAAAAGGCUACUUCCCCCAUUGGACAGUAGCCACCUGUGUUACUACACCAUUGUAUUGAUACUCCUGGGACCCCAGAGACAUCAGUGUUCAGAACAUGGAAAGAUAAAACUUUUAUCAUAAGUGAUAGGUAAACUUUCAUUGAAAGUUUUAUUUGUUACUUGAUAUACUAAAUAUCUACAACCUACUGCUUGCACUCAGCCAGGAAUUUGUUUUUUUCCACAGGAAAUAAGAUAACCUGACUUUAACUGUAGACUGCAUGUGAUCAAUAACAUUCUAAAUCAGAGUAGGAUUAGCCACUUCAGUAAGAUACAACAUGCAAAGGCAGAGGUGUCACUAAAAUCUAUGAUGGGCUUGCCUUCUAAACACAAACAAUGGUGAUUACAACUUCACUUGGAAUAAGCAAUUACAAUAUCUCACGUUUUGUCUAGGAGCAGCUUUCCCCAUGAUCUAUUCCAUGAGAAAUUUUGUUUAAAUAUAUUUUUUUUUACAGUUUUGGAGGCUGAGAUUUAUAUAUACUGGCAGUGAAGCCUGAGUCCACUAAACUUGCAAAAGCUGGAGCCAGGAUCCCAAGGGUGCUUGACAGUAGAAAAUAUUAAGAACAAAUAACACAAUCAUAGAAGGCAGCCCCAGAUAAAAUCAAACCGCAAACUGCCUGGCACAGUGAAUACAAUCUGUUGUUACUAUUGUUGCUAUCACUGAUUUUAUUACAUAGAUACAAACACACAAAAUAUUAAAAAAUACAAUUAUAUCACACAGAUGCAAAAAUAUUGAUACUUAUAAAGCAGCAGAGAUUCUGUCAAGUUUAGUUCAAUAAGGAAACUACCAUGGAUUCUACCACGGUUUCUUUUUAUUUCAACUACUUUCUUUGACAAGAGCUGGUCUUUCAAUAUCACACUGUUUAAUCUUCCCAUCCUAUUAAACUACACACAAGUAACGCCAGAGCCACAUUACCUCGCCCCUUAAUGUAUUUUUCAACAUCAUCUUUUCCAUGCACAUCUAUUUACAUUUCAUUUUUGCUCCUAAAUAAUUCUCUCUUCUUUCAAUAAAUCGCAGCUUUCCAAAAGCAUUUUGGAAGUAUAUUAAAAUUAUGGGUAUUUAUAAAAUGUCCCUGAAAAUUAAACAUCUUUGGCAGCCAAAGUGGCAAGCUCAUGCCUCUCUGGUUUAUUAAUCAGAGUUGAUUUAGGUCACACCCCUAAACAGUAGACUGUAGACACUGAUACAAGUGAAGCCAACACAGCCAGGCUGGAAGAGCUUUUCUCGAUGCUGCUCAGACAGGAUCCAGCCUUUUGGGAGGAGUCAUCACUUUUAUCUUCUGUAAGUAGAAAAUCUGUGAUUCUGUAAAUACUAAUCACUUAAUAUUUAAUAAUUUUCCUGUAAAGUUUGAACUCUAGAUAAUUCACAGCUAUAUAUCUUUACGUAUUUUACAAAUAAAAUUCUAUUAUCCAUUCUACAACCUGAAGAAUCAAAAGUUGCUAGCUGACACAGUCAUCAGGUUAAAUUCCUGUAAUAACCUGUCAAUUUUGUCAAAUAUAUGAUUUGGCUGUUUCCAAUUUAUUUUCUGACAGGACAAAUUGAUUAAUCAUUUUAGUAUCAUGGGGAGGAGAGUUACAGUUUUACUAUUAAGUUUUGGCAACAGGGAUCAGAAAAGCACAGAAUGGAAUGUUAGAGGCAUUGUUCUCAGUGUUCUGUGAUUACUUGACGAAUUAUUGAUGAGAAAAAAGGAAGGGAUAUAUACGUGCCUUCUACUAGCAUUGCAAAAGAGAUCAGUGUGAUUUAAAGUAAAAAUGUCCACAUUUUAUCACCAUUCUAAGUAAGAAACUAUGGGGACAGAAGAAAAUAUAGUUCAAAAUUCUCUAGCUUUCUAAGCUAUAGUGAAGAAAGAAAAGGAAAAUAUUUAUUUUUCAGGGUAAUACUUUAUCAUACUUCUUUCUACACUAGUCAAUCUUGAAUUUUCAACCCUCUGUUAAAUGAAAUUAUAGACAUUUUAUUAGCAAGAUUAUUUAAUUCUUCAUUUUUCAUUUAACUGUUCUUUG